UACGUAGGGGGCGAGCGUUGUCCGGAUUUAUUGGGCGUAAAGAGCGUGUAGGCGGUUCGGUAAGUCUGUCGUGAAAUCCUGAGGCUCAACCUCGGGCGUGCGAUGGAUACUGCCGGGCUAGAGGAUGGUAGAGGCGAGUGGAAUUCCCGGUGUAGCGGUGAAAUGCGUAGAUAUCCGGAGGAACACCAGUGGCGAAGGCGACUUUCUGGCCUGUUCUUGACGCUGAGGCGCGAAAGCUAGGGGAGCAAACGGG
rnacentral:rRNA from 1 species